rnacentral:rRNA from 1 species
UACGUAGGUGGCAAGCGUUAUCCGGAUUCAUUGGGCGUAAAGAGCGCGCAGGCGGUCGCUCAAGUCGCGUGUGAAAGCCCCCGGCUCAACUGGGGAGGGUCACGCGAUACCGAUCGACUGGAAGGCAGGAGAGGGUAGUGGAAUUCCCGGUGUAGUGGUGAAAUGCGUAGAUAUCGGGAGGAACACCAGUGGCGAAGGCGACUACCUGGCCUGUUCUUGACGCUGAGGCGCGAAAGCUAGGGGAGCAAACGGG